CCUCCACCGUCCCCGCAAGCCGUUUCCAGGCAGUAAUCCCGGGCGGGCGAGGUCCCCUGCGUGCCGGCGCGGCCCCGAGUGUGCCCUGACGCCCAGUGUGCUACUUCACUUACUCCGAACAGUCCUAUUGUUCCUCCCAGCAGAGCCAUUGAAACGUUUGCAAAAUAGCAGAGGGUUCCAGAUGGGAGGAGCCAUUGUUCAAAGUCCAGACCACCCAGCGGGCAUGUCAGGUAAUGGGCUUCACAUCUGACCCCUGUAGAAAUUUGAUAACACAUUAAGGGUGUCAUAUGAUUGGUCUGUGCCAUUGGGGAAAAUACCCUCCUUUUCCUUCCUGCUGACUUCUUUUUCCCCAUUAUCUUCCCUCUCCUCUUGUAGGACCACAAAUCCUCCUAAAAAUCUAUUCAAAAGAAGUUACUAGAUUAAGUUAAAGUUAAACUCAGUUAAAAAGAUAGUAAAUGUUGUUUUGCUGUCAAAUUUGUCUUUUGCAGCUCACAACAUGACCUGCUUAUGUGUUUGAUUUUCAGACCCGUAAGACGUUAUCCCCAACGGAAGAAACAAUGGCAGAGAAAGGUAACUAUGUAGAGCAGCAAGCCCCUCAGAUUUAAUGUGCAUGCAAAUCAGCUGGGGUUCCUGUUCAAAUGUUUCAGUAGGUCUGGAAGGGGCCCAAUAAUCUGCAUUUCUAGCAAGCAAC
rnacentral:lncRNA from 1 species